rnacentral:rRNA from 1 species
UACGUAGGGGGCUAGCGUUGUCCGGAAUCAUUGGGCGUAAAGCGCGUGUAGGCGGCUCGGUAAGUCCGCUGUGAAAGUCGGGGGCUCAACCCUCGGAUGCCGGUGGAUACUGUCGGGCUAGAGUACGGAAGAGGCGAGUGGAAUUCCUAGUGUAGAGGUGAAAUUCGUAGAUAUUGGGAAGAACACCGGUGGCGAAGGCGGCUCACUGGCUCGUAACUGACGCUCAUGCACGACAGCGUGGGGAUCAAACAGG